rnacentral:rRNA from 1 species
CAGUAGCCGCGGUAAUACGGAGGGUGCAAGCGUUAAUCGGAAUUACUGGGCGUAAAGCGCACGCAGGCGGUUUGUUAAGUCAGAUGUGAAAUCCCCGAGCUUAACUUGGGAACUGCAUUUGAAACUGGCAAGCUAGAGUCUUGUAGAGGGGGGUAGAAUUUCAGGUGUAGCGGUGAAAUGCGUAGAGAUCUGGAGGAAUACCGGUGGCGAAGGCGGCCCCCUGGACAAAGACUGACGCUCAGGUGCGAAAGCGUGGGGAGCAAACAGGAUUAGAUACCCGUGUAGUCCCUGUCUCUUAUAC